rnacentral:rRNA from 1 species
GAUGAACGCUAGCGACAGGCCUAACACAUGCAAGUCGAGGGGCAGCAUGAAAGUAGCUUGCUACUUUUGAUGGCGACCGGCGCACGGGUGCGUAACAGGUGUGCAAUCUGUCCAUAAUCGGGGAAUAGCCCAGCGAAAGUUGGAUUAAUGCUCCAUGUGAGCCGAGGAGGCAUCUCUUUGGUUUGAAACGUAAGGAUUAUGGGUGAGCACGCUUCUGAUUAGGUAGUUGGUGAGGUAACGGCUCACCAAGCCGACGAUCAGUAGGGGUUCUGAGAGGAAGGUCCCCCACAUUGGAACUGAGACACGGUCCAAACUCCUACGGGAGGCAGCAGUGAGGAAUAUUGGUCAAUGGACGAAAGUCUGAACCAGCCAAGUCGCGUGAAGGAUGAAGGUUCUAUGGAUUGUAAACUUCUUUGUUCGGGAAUAAAGUUCAGUAUGUAUACUGUUUUGUAUGUACCGUUCGAAUAAGCAUCGGCUAAUUCCGUGCCAG